CCGAGUGCCAAACAUUUUUUUACUUUAAUUAAUUUUGUUAGUUGUAGUAAUAGUAGCACUUUAAAUCCAUUAGGAAUGGAUUCGAAGAAUCCACAGAACGAAGUCCUGUGACCACAGGAGGGUGUGGCGGGGCAGCGUGGGUCCGGCCCUGCAGGGAGUGGAAGCGGUUCCUGCGGGGCCCAAGGCGCCGCGCAGUCAGCCGUGGUUCGUGCUGGCUGCGGCCUGCGGGCGCACGGACACAGGGACGUCUAACCCUUGUACAUUUCCAGCCACUUAUAUUCAAAGCAGUUUGCCCCGGUGGCGUACGUCCUGAUUAUGGCAGACAGGAAAGCAGUUCGGUGCAGCUGCCGCUUCUGUGCGCUGGCCCCGUUACAGCUGCCUCACAGCACCGCUGGGCUCUGGGGCUGCCAGAGGCUCCAGAGCAGCGGAACUCAGGCUCAGAGGCAGCGGAGAGCUGGGAAGCGCCGUGGGGAGCCCUCAGCUGAAGCCCCAGGGCAACGCAUCUGCUGCAGCAACAAACGACAGGAAAGGGAAGCAGCUCCCCCCAAUACGCAGGCUGGGUUUAGUGUCUCCUUGCGUUCGGAAUGAAGUCACGGCCUGAACAGAGUAAAAUGUGUCAGCGUCAGUUUAUCAAGAGUUUAUGAGACCUUAUUAGUUGCCAUGAUUACUAAGAGAGUAUUAAUUUAGGAUCAUAUCAGAAGAACUUGAAUUAAGUAAGAGCAGACUGUGGGACAGAAGGUAAGAGUGACAGGGAGGAAGGAAAAGACUCUGUUCAUUGGAAGGCUUCGGGGAAAUGUAAUAAAAAGUAAGACUACUCCCAUAGUUUGGAAAACAUAGAUUUAGGAAUGGAGAUUAAAUGUUUAAGGUAAGUCUGACUUUAAAGUGAUGAAGGUUAAUAAAUUCCUCAAUUCUUCAAUGGGAUUAUAUAAAUAAAGGAAUAAGGUGUUAGGAAAAUUAGCAUUAAAGAAAGAUUUGUUACAAACACAAGGGCUGUGUUUUGACUACGCUGAGAUCUUGAAUGACCCUAGAACUAGACACUGAAACAAUUAGGAAGGGGGAGCCACCACAGCAAACCAGCAGUGUGUUUGCCUAGCCAAUCACAGGGGUCAGGUUUUGUUGCAAGGAGGGCAUACUAUACACGGCUGCUGCAUGUUACUCUUUGUUACUGUUGAAUCUUUUAAUUAAAAUGUUUACUAAGUCACUUGGGACUCGAAGGUGCAGAGAGAGCUUGGAAUUCAUUGUUUCUGCCACAAGUCAUGAAGAUGUUGCUGUCACCCACUCACGCUACAAAGAUCAUGUUUCACAGAAGAGCCGGGUGAGCUGAAGAGAAAUAUCUGUGUGAGAGAGGAAUGCAAAGAGAAACACUCAUCACCUCUGAUGUGCUGUCUGUGCUUUCAUUUGAUCCUCUGCUUGACUGUCUCACAUCCAUCCCAGCACUGGCUUUUAUUGCUACUCGCACAACUGCAAGAUACGUAGUAACAGUCAGGUGGCUCAGGCCCUCUCUCUCUCACCUUUUGGGAUGGAUGUGUUCUGUACCCUGUUUAUGAUGGGGGAUGGGGGUGAUAGACAUCUGUGACUUCCCUCCUGCCAGUUCUGGCAAAUAUGUCUUUUGUUUUCCUAUGUGUACAUGAAGUUCCAGCCUGAAGAGGUUUCCAGUCCAAUCAGGGCUGAAGAACAGUCCUGGCCAGUUGGAUGUCUGUUCCCAGAAGCAGUCUGUCAAGGAUGAGCAGUUGGCCAGAUCUGCCAAAGAAUCUUCUGAGUUGGAAGAGAUCCACAAGUAUCAUCAAAGUCCAACUCCUGGCCCUACACAAACCCAAGAGUCCCAAAUGCUAGCCACCAUGUUGGAAACAAAAGUUAUCAGGCCUCUCCUUUGAUAUUUUGGUUUGUUGGUUGUUUGAUUGGUUUAGUUUUGGUGGGUUUUUUUGGUCUUCUAAUUCGUUCAAAGGUAGGGGUCAGUUGCUACUGGUUCUACUGUAUACAUUAGAACUGGCCAUGUUUGCCAUUUAGUAAAGUACAUACAAUUGUCCCUGUUGGCCUAAUCUUUGACAAAACUGAGUUUCAAAAGAUGGACGGGAUCGGAUCAGAUAAAAUUUGACAGCACACAUUUCAGAUUCACAGUAUUUCUAUCUUCAGUACCCACAUGUGAGUACGCAGGAGUUUCCUGUUCAAAUAAAGUAUGUUCUAGCUCUGAAGCUGAAGAUCUUGGACAAAACCUUGGGAUAUCAGACUUUCUCAGUUCUUUGUCUGUAGCAGCAACCCUUUUGUAUAGGAUCAGAGGAAUUUUGUAAUGGUCUUGGCUGGAAUUUUUCUCUUGGUCACAAUUUGACUGUGCUCCAUGGACAUAGACUGGAAUUCUCUAGAAUACAUCCCACUGUAGAAAUGAAAGAUGCUAUUAACAGCAAUAUUGAAUAUCUGGAAGAAGAAAAGGCUUCCUGUGUUUAGGGAUCUGAGGAAACAGGAUGUGAGAUAAUUAGCCAUAAUUUAUAAUAUAUAGCCAUAUUGUUUCCUCAGCAAGAAGUGGGAUGGGUGUUAUCCUGUCACCAUUUUUAAUUAUUCCAAGAGUUCCCAAGAGCAUUUUGCGUCCUAGUACUGUGCUGUGACCAACCACAUUUGUUCACAGGUUUAAAACAAAAAAUUCUUGGAGCUUUUAACACUAUGUACAUACCUAAAAAUUUCUAAUAAAAAUCCGACAGUGCACUCCUUAGCAAAAAUAGCCACCAUUCUUUCCUUGUUCCAAAUUAAUUGUUCUAAUCUGUGGGACGAUGACCUGUCUAACCAAUUUAGUCCACUGAGCUUAAGCUGAACCAUAUUGCAUAAUGUUUCUCUUCACCACCCUGAACAGGCUUACUGGUUUCUCUCAAACUUGGUGUAACAACAGGUUGACAUAAAUACUGUUUAAAGUGUUGUCUGUAAGUACCACCCUUCAUCUUAGAAGAACAGUAGGAGAUAGCUAAAUAAAAGCAAAGUUAAACUCAAAUUAAA